rnacentral:lncRNA from 1 species
AUUCACUCAAAAUUAAUCAAAUGGAUUGACAUUUCUCAAGAUGUAGUAAUGUAAUAUUUUUAUACCAAAGGAUUUUUUGGAUUAUCAAGAGCAAUAAUUGAAAAAAUAAAAUUAAGGAAAAACGAAAGGCCACACAGAUAUAAUUUAUAGUGGUUCAUUCUCAAUGUAAGAGCUGUAUCCACUUUCAAGCGUUGAAGGGUUUACUU